AGAGCGAACGCUGGCGGCAGGCCUAACACAUGCAAGUCGAACGGGCCCUUCGGGGUUAGUGGCGGACGGGUGAGUAACACGUGGGAACGUGCCUUUAGGUUCGGAAUAGCUCCUGGAAAACGGGUGGUAAUGCCGAAUGUGCCCUUCGGGGGAAAGAUUUAUCGCCUUUAGAGCGGCCCGCGUCUGAUUAGCUUGUUGGUGAGGUAAUGGCUCACCAAGGCUACGAUCAGUAGCUGGUCUGAGAGGAUGACCAGCCACAUUGGGACUGAGACACGGCCCAAACUACCUACGGGAGGCAGCAGUGGGGGAAGUACUUUGCGCAAAUGGGCGAAAGACCUGACGCAGCCAUGCGCGUGUAUGAUGAAGGUCUUAGGAUGUAAAAUAACUUUCUACCGUAGAAGAAUAAUAGACUGUAGCCGGACGAAAGAAAGACCCGGCCGUAACUUACGUGCCACG
rnacentral:rRNA from 1 species